CGUACGAGAAAGUCACUUCGGUGGCGAGUAAAGUGGCGCACGGGUGAGUAACGCGUGGGUAAUCUGCCCUCAGGUUUGGGAUAACCCCGGGAAACCGGAGCUAAUACCGAAUAAGACCACGAUGACUUCGGUCGAUGUGGGAAAAGGUGGCCUCUCGAAGAAGCCAUCACCAGGGGAUGAGCCCGCGUUUGAUUAGCUUGUUGGUGAGGUAACGGCUCACCAAGGCUCCGAUCAAUAGCUGGUCUGAGAGGAUGAUCAGCCACACUGGAACUGAGACACGGUCCAGACUCCUACGGGAGGCAGCAGUCGGGAAUAUUGGGCAAUGGAGGCAACUCUGACCCAGCAACGCCGCGUGAAGGAUGAAGGCCCUCGGGUCGUAAACUUCUGUCGAGAGGGAAGAAACGCGUAAGGUUAAUAUCCUUGCGUCUGACGGUACCUCCAAAGGAAGCACCGGCUAACUCCGUGCCAGCAGCCGCGGUAAUACGGAGGGUGCAAGCGUUGUUCGGAUUUAUUGGGCGUAAAGCGAGUGUAGGCGGUUUGUCAAGUCGGGUGUGAAAUCCCAGGGCCCAACCCUGGAACUGCACCCGAUACUGGCAGGCUAGAGUCCCGGAGAGGAUGGCGGAAUUCCCGGUGUAGGGGUGAAAUCCGUAGAUAUCGGGAGGAACACCAGUGGCGAAGGCGGCCAUCUGGACGGUGACUGACGCUGAGACUCGAAAGCGUGGGUAGCAAACAGGAUUAGAUACCCUGGUAGUCCACGCCGUAAACGGUGAGAGCUCGUCGUCGCGGGUAUUGACCCCUGCGGUGACCAAGUUAACGCAUGAAGCUCUCCGCCUGGGAAGUACGGUCGCAAGACUAAAACUCAAAGAAAUUGACGGGGGCCCGCACAAGCGGUGGAGCAUGUUGUUUAAUUCGAA
rnacentral:rRNA from 1 species